rnacentral:rRNA from 1 species
CCUACGGGAGGCAGCAGUGGGGGAUAUUGCACAAUGGGGGGAACCCUGAUGCAGCGACGCCGCGUGGGUGAAGGAGCGUUUCGGCGCGUAAAGCCCUAUCGGCAGGGAAGAAGCUGACGGUACCUGACCAAGAAGCCCCGGCUAACUACGGGCCGGACGCCGCGGUAAUAAGUAGGGGGAAAGCGUUAUCCGGAUUUACUGGGGGUAAAGGGGGCGGAGACGGCAAUGCCAGCCAGGAGGGAAAGCCCGAGGCCCAACCCCGGGACUGCUGUUGGAACUGCAUGGCUGGAGUACAGGAGGGGCAGGCGGAAUUCCUAGUGGAGCGGUGAAAUGCGUAGAUAUUAGGAGGAACACCGGUGGCGAAGGCGGCCUGCUGGACUGUGACUGACGUUGAGGCCCGAAGGCGUGGGGAGCAAACAGGAUUAGAUACCCGGGUAGUC